AGCAUGGUCCAGGCCCAUCCCCUCAAAAAAAAAAAAAUCAUGGUCCAGGCCCUCCGCGGUCUCGACGGCGGCGGCGGCGGCGCCUCCAUGGCUGGCCGGUGGUGGGUGCGGCGAGGCGUUCGUGUGGGCUAUUCGAUUGUUUCACUCUCUUCUUCUCCUGUCAUCCCUGGGACAGCGGUAGUCGUGGCUCCGCCCGUGGUUAGCAACAACGGCAGCAGCGCCGCCGCCGGCCACCACCGAGAUAACCAACGCUGCUCCACGCACAGCACAACCCGGCCUCCCCUCCGGCUGGAUGGACUUACCUUCAAAUUGGUAUCAGAUCGAGAUUUAUUGUCAUGUCUGAUGUGUUGACAUCCCAACGUUUAUGCAUGCUUACAAAUUCAGACGAUAAUUAGCCAGCAUGAUCAAUGAUGCUUUGAUGCAUACCUUGCGCAGAGCUUUGUAUUUGGUUUGAAGCUUUGGUUCAGCAUGGUCCUCAUGACCUGUAGAUAGCCAUGGACCCUCUUGUGAUUGUGAGAUAUACCAUAUGCUGACGCGUUCAAUCGAAUAUGAUGUGUGAGCCUCGAACAUUACGAGUUUAUGACUACUCGUCGAGGUGUCCACUGAAGAUGACUAGCGGCACCUACGCAAUCGAAAAUUAGUGCAGAACAAAAAUCGCAGCAAUGACGGGAUAAGGUAAUUUGUAAGUCCUCCUUUUUCAACUAUUUCAUUGCAAAUCAAAUCCAAUACGAUACAUGGAAAUUCAAAACAGAGCUCAGGCACAUAUGCUCCCGCUUGAAGAAUAAAAUUGUGAAGAAACAGUGCAAGACCUGAAUUGACUAUAUCCCUCAAUUGCGUAGUAUUGGUACACUAUGGUGAUAUGAUCUUCAUGGCUUCUGUGGCACUCAGCGUUUUUCAGAUGUGACAAAGGCCUUAGGGGACACCUGCAGAUUCUGGAAACUCCCAAGUAACAUGCUUACCACCUUUGUCAUUGAUGGCUGGUUUCUUGGGUUCCACUGAAUAUUCUGCAGUAUUCCUGGUUAGUUGUGUAAAAAACUUCAAAUCCUUCUCAUUUUUCUUAGCAUGGCAGAAUAAACACUUCUUCACGUACAAUAAGGACCGCAAUGAUGUGGGCAACUUCAUAUCAAGUGGUGAUAUGGAUGGACUUCAGUCUUUUUGUAAUAAUCAGGUAAAUCACACAACCCCCUCUCUGUUAUUACCAUCUUAGUUAUUCAUUUGGUUUUGAUGUCUCAGUUGCUUAAGCUAGUCAACUUCAAUGUGCUUUUGAGCCAGUUAGCCAACGCCCAACAGUAUAGACACAUUCCACCAGAUCUGGUUAGUCACAUAAAUGGUAAACUUCUCUGUUUUCUUCUCUUAAUGAAAAAGUAGCGGUUCUGCUGUUUGCUCGGA